UACGAAGGGUGCAAGCGUUACUCGGAAUUACUGGGCGUAAAGCGUGCGUAGGUGGUUUGUUAAGUCUGUUGUGAAAGCCCCGGGCUCAACCUGGGAAUGGCAAUGGAUACUGGCAAGCUAGAGUGCGGUAGAGGGUAGUGGAAUUCCCGGUGUAGCGGUGAAAUGCGUAGAGAUCGGGAGGAACACCAGUGGCGAAGGCGGCUCUCUGGGCCUGUCCUGACGCUCAGGCGCGAAAGCUAGGGGAGCAAACAGG
rnacentral:rRNA from 1 species